AAGGGAUAAGGAGCUGACUACCAACUCUACUCUGCAAAAAAAAAAAAAGACAACUUUUAUACCAUGCUUAUCAUGACCUCACUUGUGUGCUGAAGGCAAUGCUGGCCAGCAAGUCCCUGGCACAAUUGCACAGUUGCUGUGGCUACCCAUCCCUGUCCUGCACCCAGAGUAUUUUUUUUAUUUUUUUUUGUUUAGUGGGAGGUGCUCUCUAACUCGUUCUGGUCCCAAAUUGUUUUGUGAAACAAGUGAAAGUUCGGGAGGAUUGAGACAGACUUGUUUUUUUUUUUUUUUCCCAGGGAGAGCUGCUGCAGAUGCUGCUGUCUGUGCAACAGGUAGGAUGGUGUAACGCCUAGCUCAUCUCUUUGUUGUUGAACCUAAGUCCAAGGACAAUGAGCUAUGGGGAGGGGAGUGGACAGGACGGGACAGUGAAGAGGGACUGCAGGCUUCACACCUAAUAUCUUCAUCAGCAUCAGGAUCUGCCUCACUCUAUACAUUGCAGUCCCUUCCAGCUUUUAACACGUCAAAGGGAGACUAACUGAUCUCAGGAGCUGAGUCCAAACAAAGAGGGACAUAUUUUGGACAUUUGGGCUGCUUUUGUUCCUCUCACUUGCUGCUCUAAGGGUUCUGUCUACCAGGAGCCCAGAGGAAGUUUUUUUUUUUUAUUUCUUUAGGUUUGCCUGGCUUGGGAUGAAGCUGAUGUGGGGCAAAAGUUUCUUGAGUCUUAUAAGAACAUUGGGUGGAUGUGGGCUCCUUGAGUAGACAAGGGAGGAGGGUGAGGGUGGGAGUGAGAAACCUGCUGCUGCAGAGCUCCAGUUCUUUGUUUGCUCGGGGAACUUGAACAAAAGAAAAAAAACUCUCAAGAACUCUUUAUCUGCAUCCCUAUCUGGCAAGCCAGUUCCUAACUUCCUUGCCUUGCAAUGUGAAAGCUUCUCAGCUGAUGCGACUUCAAGCCCCCUGGAUACCUGCGAAAGUCACAAAAGGAGCCUUGGAAGUUUCUUUGUGGAGCUUUACCUAAUUAGGAUAUGUUAACAUUCCAAGAAGCUUUUAUCAAAUUUGGAUUAAAUACGUAUUCUUCAAAAGGUCCCUAAUGGAGGUUGCAAUGCGAUGGGUUCAUGUCUACGAGAAGAAAAUGCAAUGGGUUUUGGUUCCUGUAAUAUUUUCAGCCACAAAUGGAUCGAACACUAGUUUUCCACAACAUUGGAUUACAAAUCUAUGUUUCUCUUUGGGUAUAUACAGAAGAAGAGUAACUUAAGUUUGGAUUACAAUGAGCUUCACCACUGGAUAUACAACAUAAGCAAGGUGACUAAGAAAACAAUGGAGGCGAAGCAUCAACAUGACAGCCUGGUAACUGACAUUCCUAAAGGAGAAAAGGCAAAAAUGGCAGCCUACAUCAUUCUUCUAUGACAGGUGUACUUUAACUCUGCACCAUAGCUUUAAUUGGCUCCAAAAGCAGGAAAGCACACAGGUGCGAUAAAGAGACCAGUGUCCAAGAGGAUAACAAGCAGGGAAAAAUUCUAGGUCCAGAGGGCAGGAAAUUAAUAUGGCUCAUAGAGGAAACUGUGAGUUUGAUCUAAUACACUGCAGAAUGGCUUAUGAAGAGGUGUUGGAAUCAAGACUGAGGAGUAAGGUCCAGACACACUGAAAGGAAACACGAGUGAUGUAGUAACCUGGGGGAUACGUGGCAUGGAACACAGGCUUUUGAAGAUUCUACUGCCAUUCUAGCACUUAAUAAAAUCAAAGAUUGUCUGCAACAGAGACAGUAAUACCAGAUCUCGGUAUGCCACAUUAAAUGUAGGACCACCCAGUUUAUAUUCCUAACAUCUGGAUGAAACCGACACUUUGCAAGAAGGGGAGGAAAACUGAUAAACCUGGCAACAGUGAGUGUACACAAACUCCUUUCAGUAACAGUUGCCUUUCUUUUGUCUCCUGCAUAUUUGUCAUUAGUUUAACAUAUUAAAGCUUCUUAAAAAAAAUUGUGAUAAAAUCAUCACAAAUUGUGUCAGAGUAAAAGUGUGAU